rnacentral:rRNA from 1 species
AGUGAACGCUGGCGGUAGGCCUAACACAUGCAAGUCGAACGGCAGCACAAGAGAGCUUGCUCUCUGGGUGGCGAGUGGCGGACGGGUGAGGAAUACAUCGGAAUCUACUCUGUCGUGGGGGAUAACGUAGGGAAACUUAAGCUGAUACAGCAUACGACCUACGGGUGAAGGCAGGGGAACUUCGGACCUUGCGCGAUUGAAUGAGUCGAUGUCGGAUUAGCUAGUUGGCGGGGUAAAGGCCCACCAGGGCGACGAUCCGUAGCUGUUCUGAGAGGAUGAUCAGGCACACUGUAACUGAGACACGGUCCAGACUCCUACGGGAGGCAGCAGUGGGGAAUAUUGGACAAUGGGCGCAAGCCUGAUCCAGCCAUACCGCGUGGGUGAAGAAGGCCUUCGGGUUGUAAAGCCCUUUUGUUGGGAAAGAAAUCCAGCUGGCUAAUACCCGGUUGGGAUGACGGUACCCAAAGAAUAAGCACCGGCUAACUUCGUGCCAGCCGCCGCCGUAA